AGAGUUUGAUCCUGGCUCAGGAUGAACGCUGGCGGCGUGCUUAACACAUGCAAGUCGAGCGAAGCGCUUAAGUUUGAUUCUUCGGAUGAAGACUUUUGUGACUGAGCGGCGGACGGGUGAGUAACGCGUGGGUAACCUGCCUCAUACAGGGGGAUAACAGUUAGAAAUGACUGCUAAUACCGCAUAAGACCACAAGGUCGCAUGACCAGGUGGUAAAAACUCCGGUGGUAUGAGAUGGACCCGCGUCUGAUUAGGUAGUUGGUGAGGUAACGGCUCACCAAGCCGACGAUCAGUAGCCGACCUGAGAGGGUGACCGGCCACAUUGGGACUGAGACACGGCCCAGACUCCUACGGGAGGCAGCAGUGGGGAAUAUUGCACAAUGGGCGAAAGCCUGAUGCAGCGACGCCGCGUGAAGGAUGAAGUAUUUCGGUAUGUAAACUUCUAUCAGCAGGGAAGAAUUAGGACGGUACCUGACUAAGAAGCCCCGGCUAACUACGUGCCAGCAGCCGCGGUAAUACGUAGGGGGCAAGCGUUAUCCGGAUUUACUGGGUGUAAAGGGAGCGUAGACGGUGUGGCAAGUCUGAUGUGAAAGGCAUGGGCUCAACCUGUGGACUGCAUUGGAAACUGUCAUACUUGAGUGCCGGAGGGGUAAGCGGAAUUCCUAGUGUAGCGGUGAAAUGCGUAGAUAUCGGGAAGAACACCGAUGGCGAAGGCAGCCUGCUGGGCCGCAACUGACGCUGAGGCGCGAAAGCUAGGGGAGCGAACAGGAUUAGAUACCCUGGUAGUCCUAGCCGUAA
rnacentral:rRNA from 1 species